CCUCAUUUCAUUGUCUAGCUUGAAUUGGGUUUCAGUCAUUUACGUUGUUUUGUUAAUACUUUUGUGUUUUUCAUUCUAGAGAAAUGUCAUAACACAAUAUAUCAUGCAUACCUUCAAUAAAUACCUGAUUGUAACUGUUUACAUGUGGAUUUUGGGCUCUUCUCGCGAUUGUGCAGGAUCAAGCCUAUGGGGGAUGAAGACGGUCUUUACCCGACCCUGUGUUUGGCAGCUGAAUAAAACAGCUAUCAUCCCACCUUUAGAGGAAUUGAGUGUCUGCGUCAACCUCAUGAGAACGAUUAGCAAUUCUGAAUGGACUGCUUUUGACUACAAAGGUCCAGGUCAACAGUACAUGGAGUUUGGCUUAGCUGGAAAUAUGGGCAAUGUAAUAGCCUCUCUUUUUGGAGAAAAAUGGACAGUUGCUUAUGACAUGCCCAUAAAAAUGUGGCACACAGUUUGUCUGACAUGGUCGAGUCACAAUAGGCUUUUCCAUGUGAUCAUUAAUGAAGCAGUUUUUGAAUUUCCCUUGAAUGAAAAUUCACCCAAGUACCUUGCCGCAAAUGGUACCCUGAGUUUGGGAGUGUCACAUAAUUUUGUUGGAGGUUCUAUUGAUUUUGAGACUGGGAAGAACUUUUUGGGUUACAUGUCCUUGUUCCGGAUGUGGGGAGUGCAGAUGAACCCACAGCAGCUGGAUGCACACAGAUGUGUAGAUGGGAAUAUUGUGACUUGGAGAGAGCAAGAUUGGGAUUAUCAGAAGUGUCCACCCAUUCCCGAUGACAACUUUCUUUGUGAAUCAUCAAAAUAUAAAAUUCAAAUGAACACAGCUAUUGCACAAAAUGUCAUUAAUAAUACUGAAAAUGAUAUCCAGGAGAUUGUUUUAAUCUGGCUGAAGCAAGUUUUCCCUCAGAAAAUAUCAGUGCAUUCUGUGUUCCUGUCAAAUUUAAGAGAAGUGCCAAAAUUUAGCCCACGAACAGGAGCUGGUUUAGCUGGACAACAUAUGGAGGAAAUCCAGGGCACUGUAAAGUCACCAAUCAAGACACAAUGGUUUGAUUGUGUGGUGUUUGUGAGAGUGAUACCUGCAGCUGAUGUGAGGGAAACAGUGUCUAAGAUACAGGGGCUGUUAAUACCCAUCUAUAGCUACAACAACAUCCUCCUGAAAACAAACCCAGCAUCCAUAAACAUCCUCUCAGUAGCUGUCUUUCCCAACGUGACUUCAAAUCCUGCUUUGAGGACCACUGUUGCACCAGUCUCAAGUACAAAUAUUACAAUAUCAGGAACUCGCACAUCAUCACAAACACUGGCAAUGGAAAAUAUCUGUUUAAUCACUUCAGGCUUAAUUUCAAACAGAGAUUUUGGAGACAUUUUUUAUAGGGUUUAUCUCAAUCUAACAAUGAGUGGCAGCAUCACAGACCCUCAACACACUAUACAGCAAUGGCUUCAGCAAACACUAGGAAAAUGCAACAUGGAUGUUUGGAAUCUUGCGAUAAAAGGAGGUCCUAAGUACAUCACUACUUUUCAUGUUCAGGCUAAGGCACCAGGAAAUGUCACUGCAACGGAGAGGCUGAUUUUUGAACUUUUGACAAAAGGAUACACCAGUGCUACCAUCAGUAUCAUUGUUCCGUCCGGUGAAGUCAACAUCAGCCAUAUAGAUCCAGGCCUUUGUCCAGAGGAAACCAUGCUCACAGCGUAUGGUAUAUACAUGUGGCCCGAAAUGACAGCUCAAAGUGAAUACAGCAUGGGGUGUGUAAGAGGGAAUGAAAUUGCUACAAGGUUUUGUAAGUUAAACGGGGCAACUGACAGAGCAGUGUGGGAUCAUCCAGACAUGAGCAAGUGUAUUCCGACAGUUUCAGAUUUUGAUGGUUUGGAAAAUAUCACAGUUACAGCUGACAACUCAGCAGACAUUGUGGACAUGAUUGAGGAUCUUUUAAAGGAACAAAGCGAUCUGAAUGACGCUCAGAUGGACAUUGUGCUUGAAAAACUGUCUAAGGUCACUGAAGUUGGAACCUUGACCACAGACCUGUCCUGCGACAUUACUAAAAUUGUUUCAGAUAUCUGUUAUAUCAAAACUAGUCCCACCCAAAUCAACAAAAUUCUUUCUAUUACAGACCUUAUGGGAGACAGGACGGUGUUCGAGGGAGAUGCUCAUAACAUGACAGCACCUUCAUUAGCACUUCAGCUGAUCAACCCUGACACCUCUCAGUUCCAUGGCCUCACAUUCGAGGUGUCCUCCUUACUGAAUGAUAGCACCCCUGAGAUAUUUUAUGACAAGAACUUUACAGUGCAUCCAGACACAGGAACUGUAGCAUUCAUUUCUUUACCUCAUGCAAUUGAGAGCUUUUUCCCAAACAAUGGAGCCAGACCUCGUGUACAAUUUCAAUUUUAUGGCAAAGAAAAUUUCUUUGAGGACGCUACAGCCAACAUGAAGCUGAACUCUUAUGUAGUAUCCGCCAGUGUCACCAAUGCUACAGUAAGCAACCUUGAGAUCCCAGUGAUGGUCACUCUCCGCCAUCUCCAAAACAAAGAGGUCUGUAUGGAUACAAUCACCCAACACCAAAACAAACCACGAAUCAUUUCAGCAUCAUUAUUGUCCUGUUGA
ensembl:lncRNA